rnacentral:rRNA from 1 species
GACGAACGCUGGCGGCGUGCUUAACACAUGCAAGUCGAACGGAAAGGCCCUGCUUUUGUGGGGUGCUCGAGUGGCGAACGGGUGGGUAACACGUGAGUAACCUGCCCUUGACUUUGGGAUAACUUCAGGAAACGGGGGCUAAUACCGGAUAGGAUCUCCUGCUGCAUGGUGGGGGUUGGAAAGUUUCGGCGGUUGGGGAUGGACUCGCGGCUUAUCAGCUUGUUGGUGGGGUAGUGGCUUACCAAGGCUUUGACCGGUAGCCGGCCUGGGAGGGUGACCGGGCACAUUGGGCCUGAGGUACGGCCCAGACUCCUAUGGGAGGCAGCAGGGGGGAAUCUUGCCCAAUGGGACGAAGCCUGAUGCAGAGACGCCGCGUGUGGGAUGACGGCCUUCGGGUUGUAAACCGCUUUCGCCUGUGACGAAGCGUGAGUGACGGUAAUGGGUAAAGAAGCACCGGCUAACUACGUG